CUACUUAUCUGGCAGAGGAGAUACCAUGAUCACAAAAGUUGUUUUCAUAGGGUGAGGCUUAUCCAUUGUAUUCCAGAUAUGCUGACCCCUGUGAUUUUCCCAAUUGUGGGAAACUUGACUGCAUAAUUUUGUUAGUGGUGGACUGCAUUCACAAUCUCCCA
rnacentral:snRNA from 1 species